CCUACGGGGGGCAGCAGUGAGGAAUAUUGGUCAAUGGACGAGAGUCUGAACCAGCCAAGUAGCGUGAAGGAUGACUGCCCUAUGGGUUGUAAACUUCUUUUAUAUGGGAAUAAAACGUUCCACGUGUGGGAUUUUGUAUGUACCAUAUGAAUAAGGAUCGGCUAACUCCGUGCCAGCAGCCGCGGUCAUACGGAGGAUCCGAGCGUUAUCCGGAUUUAUUGGGUUUAAAGGGAGCGUAGGUGGAUUGUUAAGUCAGUUGUGAAAGUUUGCGGCUCAACCGUAACAUUGCAGUUGAAACUGGCAGUCUUGAGUACAGUAGAGGUGGGCGGAAUUCGUGGUGUAGCGGUGAAAUGCUUAGAUAUCACGAAGAACUCCGAUUGCGAAGGCAGUUCACUGGACUGCAACUGACACUGAGGCUCGAAAGUGUGGGUAUCAAACAGGAUUAGAUACCCGAGUAGUC
rnacentral:rRNA from 1 species